rnacentral:rRNA from 1 species
AGAGCGAACGCUGGCGGCAGGCCUAAUACAUGCAAGUCGAACGCACCUUCGGGUGAGUGGCGGACGGGUGAGUAACACGUGGGAACGUGCCCUUUGGUUCGGAAUAAUCCGGGGAAACCUGGCCUAAUACCGGAUGUGCCCUUCGGGGGAAAGAUUUAUCGCCAUUGGAGCGGCCCGCGUCUGAUUAGCUUGUUGGUGGGGUAAUGGCCCACCAAGGCUACGAUCAGUAGCUGGUCUGAGAGGAUGAUCAGCCACACUGGGACUGAGACACGGCCCAGACUCCUACGGGAGGCAGCAGUAGGGAAUCUUGCGCAAUGGGCGAAAGCCUGACGCAGCCAUGCCGCGUGAAUGAUGAAGGUCUUAGGAUUGUAAAAUUCUUUCAGCGGGGAAGAUAAUGACUGUACCCGCAGAAGAAGCUCCGGCUAACUUCGCGCCAGCAGCCGC